rnacentral:lncRNA from 1 species
UGGCAAGUCAUGGAAGGGGAAUAGGCAGGGGCAAAGCAGGAAAGAGCAAAAUGUUAACCUUUUGAAGCAUGGAGAGGGCAAUUAGCUGCCUCCUUUGUGGUUUUAUCUGAAAAGGAAUUCCUGGUGGCUGGGGAGGCUGAGAGUCCUCAGUGUCCUCUGCAAUGAAGCCAAGCUGCCUGUGUUGGUAACUGGUCUGGAGAAGGGCUUUAAUGUAUGGUGAAUUAAUGACUGAGGAUCCCCAAGAGGUAUUACAGACAUAUAAAUCCUGGAGAUGAAAACAAAAAGAUGAAAGGGGAGAGUUCCUUAUUGGUGACCAGUAUGACUUAUACAGGGAGCUGCUGUGACAGGAGUGUCCCAACGUAGAUCUUGAGACUGCCUGCACAGCAGGGCUCCUCCAGGACCAUCCCUGCCAUCACUUAAUGUGGAAGUGUCUGAAGCAGCAUCGAGCAGGCAGCAGUUGGGCUCUGGGGAACUUCACCAACAGAAGACCAGUCCCAGUCCCCCCAUCCAGAGGCCAAGAUCAGCUCCAUCCUCUGCACAAUUCCCAUGGCAAACUUGGCUGGAGUACACAGCACAUUUCUGGCAUCUGACAUCGACAUUAUCACAAAACUGUAAACACCAGAGGUGCCCAUUGAGACCUCAUCAUCGUCUGGAUUUUACAAAUUGUAAUGACAGGGAAAAUUUUCUGGAAUUCUCACAAGUAUAUUCCAAUCUGCCACUUCCAGUGUAACUCAUGAUGAGAAUAAAAAGAUGAAGACAUUUGCAGUUAUGAGGAGCCAAGGGAGUCCUUAGUGUUCUUGUUACUUUUGCUAUUUUCCACCACUGUGAACUGUUGCCUCUGCCAUGUGCCACUCUACCUUGGAGCCAGCCAAGUAUGGACUGUGAGACCUCCACAAACUGUGAGCUAAAUAAACCUCUCCUUCCUUAAUUUUGGGCAUCAACUAUUUUGUUCCAGCAAUGAGAGAGAAGUUACCAAAACAAAUAC